GUGUCAGCCGCCGCGGUAAUACGGAGGGUGCAAGCGUUAUCCGGAUUUACUGGGUUUAAAGGGUGUGUAGGCGGACUUUUAAGUCAGCGGUGAAAUCUCCGGGCUCAACCCGGAAACUGCCAUUGAUACUAUUAGUCUUGAAUAUUGUUGAGGUAGGCGGAACGGGUCAUGUAGCGGUGAAAUGCAUAGAUAUGACCCGGAACACCGAUUGCGAAGGCAGCCUACUAAGCAAUUAUUGACGCUGAGGCACGAAAGCGUGGGGAUCAAACAGGAUUAGAUACCCUAGUAGUCC
rnacentral:rRNA from 1 species